rnacentral:tRNA from 1 species
AUUGGUGUGGCUCAGUUGGUAGAGCAUGGUGUUUGCAACGCCAGGGUUGUGGGUUCGAUUCCCCCAAAAAAUG